GUCCGCCGUGCUCUCCGCGCGACAGGAAAACAUCGCCCAGCAAUAUCAGCUGUUUAAAAAAAAAAAAAAAAACUAAAGUCAACAACGUCGCUGACCUAGCUGGCGCUGUCGAGGUCCACGGUGUGCGCCGUUCUGGACGAUCUGUCGGGAACUUUUAACGCAAGUCACCGGCGUGACGUGAUGGCGAUAUCAGGAUUAUUCCGCAAUGACUCCACGGAUCUGCGCCGCGAUAUUCUGCUCUUGCGCCAUUAAACCCAGUGAACCAGAACAAGCAGGCAUUCAAGCUUUGCCUUUAUGCAGAGUCAACCUGGGGUGACGAAGAAGAAGACGAAAAAGAAGAAGAUGGAGAGGAAGGGACGUGGACAGUCCAGACUGUGCAGACCAGCCCAGACGCUCCGUGUUGUUCCAUCUUCCAGAAAAGAAACAAAGAUGGGUAGUUGCAAACCAACAGGCCAGAAAAAGAAAGAAGAAGAAGGAGGAAGGGAGGGGAGGGACACUUCUGCCGUCACCCCAAAUACAACAGCGGUGAAAGGAACAUGUAGGUCUUUGCAGCUGCAGCAGAGAGGACGUCGUUUUGAAGGCCAACCAAGGAGAUCAGCAUCUCUCCACCAAACCCCAAUGGGAUUCUUACAUUGGAUUGUAGUAAUGCAUAGAAAAUAAACUCAUUCAUAUCAACACAUUGUGUUUUUCCCAUUAGGGAGUGCUACAUCGUCAGCAUACAUAACCUUUGAAAUUGGACACCAGCAUCAGCCAGAGAUGAGGCAUUUUAUUUGCUUUCACAAGCCUACAUGUAGGACGGGUACCAAACGCGCUAUUGA